rnacentral:rRNA from 1 species
UACGUAGGGUGCAAGCGUUAAUCGGAAUUACUGGGCGUAAAGCGUGCGCAGGCGGUUGUGCAAGACAGAUGUGAAAUCCCCGGGCUUAACCUGGGAAUUGCAUUUGUGACUGCACGGCUAGAGUGUGUCAGAGGGGGGUAGAAUUCCACGUGUAGCAGUGAAAUGCGUAGAUAUGUGGAGGAAUACCGAUGGCGAAGGCAGCCCCCUGGGAUAACACUGACGCUCAUGCACGAAAGCGUGGGUAGCAAACAGG